rnacentral:rRNA from 1 species
GACGAACGCUGGCGGCGUGCUUAACACAUGCAAGUCGAACGUGAUUUUUGUGGAAAUUCUUUCGGGAAUGGAAAUGAAAUGAAAGUGGCGAACGGGUGAGUAACACGUGAGCAACCUACCUUACACAGGGGGAUAGCCGUUGGAAACGACGAUUAAUACCGCAUGAGACCACAGAAUCGCAUGAUAUAGGGGUCAAAGAUUUAUCGGUGUAAGAAGGGCUCGCGUCUGAUUAGCUAGUUGGAAGGGUAAAGGCCUACCAAGGCGACGAUCAGUAGCCGGUCUGAGAGGAUGAACGGCCACAUUGGAACUGAGACACGGUCCAAACUCCUACGGGAGGCAGCAGUGGGGAAUAUUGCACAAUGGGGGGAACCCUGAUGCAGCGACGCCGCGUGAGCGAAGAAGGUUUUCGAGUCGUAAAGCUCUGUCCUAUGAGAAGAUAAUGACGGUAUCAUAGGAGGAAGCCCCGGCUAAAUACGUGCCAGCAGCCGCGGUAAUACGUAUGGGGCGAGCGUUGUCCGGAAUUAUUGGGCGUAAAGGGUACGUAGGCGGUUUUUUAAGUCAGGUGUGAAAGCGUGAGGCUUAACCUCAUUAAGCACUUGAAACUGGAAGACUUGAGUGAAGGAGAGGAAAGUGGAAUUCCUAGUGUAGCGGUGAAAUGCGUAGAUAUUAGGAGGAAUACCGGUGGCGAAAGCGACUUUCUGGGACUUUUACUGACGCUCAGGUACGAAAGCGUGGGGGAGCAAACAGG